rnacentral:rRNA from 1 species
CCUACGGGAGGCAGCAGUGGGGAAUUUUGGACAAUGGGCGAAAGCCUGAUCCAGCAAUGCCGCGUGAGUGAAGAAGGCCUUCGGGUUGUAAAGCUCUUUUGUCAGGGAAGAAACGGUGAGGGCUAAUAUCCUUUGCUAAUGACGGUACCUGAAGAAUAAGCACCGGCUAACUACGUGCCAGCAGCCGCGGUAAUACGUAGGGUGCAAGCGUUAAUCGGAAUUACUGGGCGUAAAGCGUGCGCAGGCGGUUUUGUAAGUCUGAUGUGAAAUCCCCGGGCUCAACCUGGGAAUUGCAUUGGAGACUGCAAGGCUAGAAUCUGGCAGAGGGGGGUAGAAUUCCACGUGUAGCAGUGAAAUGCGUAGAUAUGUGGAGGAACACCGAUGGCGAAGGCAGCCCCCUGGGUCAAGAUUGACGCUCAUGCACGAAAGCGUGGGGAGCAAACAGGAUUAGAUACCCUGGUAGUCCACGCCCUAAACGAUGUCUACUAGUUGUCGGGUCUUAAUUGACUUGGUAACGCAGCUAACGCGUGAAGUAGACCGCCGNGGGUAAGGUAGGUCGCGAGAAGUUAAACGUUAACGAAGAAGUUAGUUAGGACGNGAGAGAGCGACGACGACGACGAGGAGGAGGAG